GACGAACGCUGGCGGCGUGCUUAACACAUGCAAGUCGAACGGUGAAGCGCCUUCCUUUUUGGUGGGUGUGGAUGAGUGGCGAACGGGUGAGUAACACGUGAGUAACCUGCCCCCUUCUUCUGGAUAACCGCAUGAAAGUGUGGCUAAUACGGGAUAUUCUGGGUCUGUCGCAUGAUGGGUCUGGGAAAGAUAUUGUUUCGGUGGGGGAUGGGCUCGCGGCCUAUCAGCUUGUUGGUGGGGUGAUGGCCUACCAAGGCGGUGACGGGUAGCCGGCCUGAGAGGGUGGACGGUCACACUGGGACUGAGCCACGGCCCAGACUCCGACGGGAGGCAGCAGUGGGGAAUAUUGCACAAUGGGCGCAAGCCUGAUGCAGCGACGCCGCGUGAGGGAUGGAGGCCUUCGGGUUGUGAACCUCUUUCGCCAGUGAAGCAGGCCUGCCUCGUUUGUGGGUGGGUUGACGGUAGCUGGAUAAGAAGCGCCGGCUAACUACGUG
rnacentral:rRNA from 1 species